rnacentral:rRNA from 1 species
GACGAACGCUGGCGGCGUGCUUAACACAUGCAAGUCGAACGGAAAGGCCCUGCUUUUGUUGGGUGCUCGAGUGGCGAACGGGUGAGUAACACGUGAGUAACCUGCCCUUGACUUUGGGAUAACUUCAGGAAACUGGGGCUAAUACCGGAUAGGAGCUCCUGCUGCAUGGUGGGGGUUGGAAAGUUUCGGCGGUUGGGGAUGGACUCGCGGCUUAUCAGCUUGUUGGUGGGGUAGUGGCUUACCAAGGCUUUGACGGGUAGCCGGCCUGAGGGGGUGACCGGCCACAUUGGGACUGAGAUACGGCCCAGACUCCUACGGGAGGCAGCAGUGGGGAAUAUUGCACAAUGGGCGGAAGCCUGAUGCAGAAACGCCGCGUGCGGGAUGACGGCCUUCGGGUUGUAAACCGCUUUCGCCUGUGACGAAGCGUGAGUGACGGUAAUGGGUAAAGAAGCACCGGCUAACUACGUG